rnacentral:lncRNA from 1 species
UGGCCUCAGCUGGAGCUGAUGAGACAUUGAGAUUUUGGCAAGUUUUUGGAGCUCCUGAACUCCUCAAUAGCAAGCCUGAAGCUAAGACCUCAUUUGGCCCAUUUAGCAAUAUCAACCAAAUCAGAUGAUCCAUUUCAGAACAAGAGGUCUCUACCCAUUCUAUGCAUGUCAGAAUGAUUGGAGAGAGAAAGAGGUAUACAAAUUUUACACAUCUACUUUUUGUAAUUUUGUCCCUGUUAAUUGUAUUGUUAUGUUUAUUGGUUUUAACGCCAAAUGUUGUGAUUGUUUUGGGGCAUAGCUUUUAUUUAUUUCUCAAUUAUUCUUUUAUGGCUCAACAGGCACGCGAGAAUUCCUGAAUCAAUAAAAUCAGUCAGGUGGAGGUGGGGCUGAUAGGUGUAUCAAAUUUUGGAAUACACAUACUGGAGCUUGCAUAAAUUCAGUGGAUACGGGGUCUCAAGUGUGUUCAUUACUUUGGAGUAAGAAUGAGAGAGAGUUGUUGAGCUCUCAUGGUUUUACUCUAAACCAAUUGACACUGUGGAAGUAUCCAUCUAUGGUGAAGUUGGCUGAGCUUAAUGGGCAUACUUCUAGAGUUCUAUUCAUGGCCCAGGUAUAUAAUUUUUCAUCUUGUGACUUUUCAAUUUCUGGUUUUGAGAAUUAGUUGCUUUUCAUUUGUUUCUAUUCUUUUUUCCUUGAGAAAAGUUGUAUGUUAAGUUUGUUGUUUCUAUGCAGAGCUCAGAUGGGUGUAGUUCUAUUCAUGGCCCAGGUAUAUAAUUUUUCAUCUUGUGACUUUUCAAUUUCUGGUUUUGAGAAUUAGUUGCUUUCCAUUUGUUUCUGUUUUUUUUUUCUUUUUCCUUGAGAAAAGUUGUAUGUUAAGUUUGUUGUUCUAUGCAGAGCCCAGAUGGGUGUACAGUGGCCUCAGCUAGAGCUGAUGAGACAUUGAGAUUUCAGCAAGUUUUUGGAGCUCCUAAACUCCUCAACAGCAAGCCUGAAGCUAAGACCUCAUUUGGCCCAAUCAACAAUAUCAACCAAAUCAGAUGAUCCAUUUCAGAACGAGAGGUCUCUACCCAUUCUAUGCAUGUCAGACUGAUUUGAGUGAGAAAGAGGUAUACAAAUUUUACUCAUCUCUUUUUUGUAAUUUUGUCCCUGUUAAUUGUAUUGUUAUGUUUAUUGGCUUCAACGCCAAAUGUUGUGACUGUUUGGGGGCAUAGCUUUUAUUUAUUUCUCAAUUAUUCUUUUAUGGCUCAG